rnacentral:tRNA from 1 species
GGAGGGGUGUCCGAGUCCGGGUUAUGGUGGCAGACUUGAAAUCUGCUGUGCGUUCCGACGCACCGUGGGUUCGAAUCCCACCCCCUCCGCCA